UUCCUGCUGAACUGAGCCAGU
rnacentral:ncRNA from 4 species